rnacentral:piRNA from 1 species
UGGGUCUCACCAUACUUUCUCAGCGUGGG